UGGGGAAUAUUGCACAAUGGGCGGAAGCCUGAUGCAGCAACGCCGCGUGCGGGAUGACGGCCUUCGGGUUGUAAACCGCUUUCGCCUGUGACGAAGCGUGAGUGACGGUAAUGGGUAAAGAAGCACCGGCUAACUACGUGCCAGCAGCCGCGGUGAUACGUAGGGUGCGAGCGUUGUCCGGAUUUAUUGGGCGUAAAGGGCUCGUAGGUGGUUGAUCGCGUCGGAAGUGUAAUCUUGGGGCUUAACCCUGAGCGUGCUUUCGAUACGGGUUGACUUGAGGAAGGUAGGGGAGAAUGGAAUUCCUGGUGGAGCGGUGGAAUGCGCAGAUAUCAGGAGGAACACCAGUGGCGAAGGCGGUUCUCUGGGCCUUUCCUGACGCUGAGGAGCGAAAGCGUGGGGAGCGAACAGGCUUAGAUACCCUGGUAGUCCACGCUGUAAACGGUGGGUACUAGGUGUGGGGUCCAUUCCACGGGUUCCGCGCCGUAGCUAACGCUUUAAGUACCCCGCCUGGGGAGUACGGCCGCAAGGCU
rnacentral:rRNA from 1 species